GCAAGUCGAACGCUCUCUUCGGAGAGAGUGGCAGACGGGUGAGUAACGCGUGGGAAUCUACCUAGUACUAAGGAACAACAGUUAGAAAUGACUGCUAAUACCUUAUACGCCCUCCGGGGGAAAGAUUUAUCGGUAUUAGAUGAGCCCGCGUUUGAUUAGCUAGUUGGUGAGGUAAUGGCUCACCAAGGCGACGAUCUUUAGCUGUUCUGAGAGGAUGAUC
rnacentral:rRNA from 1 species